AACGAACGCUGGCGGCAUGCCUAACACAUGCAAGUCGAACGAGACCUUCGGGUCUAGUGGCGCACGGGUGCGUAACGCGUGGGAACCUGCCCUUAGGUUCGGAAUAACUCCCCGAAAGGGAUGCUAAUACCGGAUAAUAUCUUCGGACCAAAGAUUUAUCGCCUUUGGAUGGGCCCGCGUUGGAUUAGCUAGUUGGUAGGGUAAAAGCCUACCAAGGCGACGAUCCAUAGCUGGUCUGAGAGGAUGAUCAGCCACACUGGGACUGAGACACGGCCCAGACUCCUACGGGAGGCAGCAGUGGGGAAUAUUGGACAAUGGGCGAAAGCCUGAUCCAGCAAUGCCGCGUGAGUGAUGAAGGCCUUAGGGUUGUAAAGCUCUUUUACCCGGGAUGAUAAUGACAGUACCGGGAGAAUAAGCUCCGGCUAACUCCGUG
rnacentral:rRNA from 1 species